GAUUAGAUAAGCUAAAUAUCAAGCUAGUGGGCUCAUACCCCAAACAUGGAAUUAUUCCUCUAAUCA
rnacentral:tRNA from 1 species